UUUUUUUUUUUUUUUAAAUAAAUCCUUUUUUUCUCUCUUUCAGUUCCAAUUGUCUGUGUAGUUGUGGACUUUCCGGUUGCGAUGGCUGGAGGGAGGAGUAUGGUGAAGAAUGUUGGAAAAGGAGAAUCACUGUAACAUUUCCUUUGACCAUUUAUAAAUGGUUUAAUUUAUAAAUAAUUAAAAAUGAAAUUUGGAUAAGUUAAUAGUAUGUGGAUGUAAUUUUGCUUUUUCAAAAAGUAAAUUUUGUUAACCUUUGUCUGGUUAGAAGAAAAUCAAUUUUUUAUUGAAUUUGAGCAUGUGAUGUAAUUAACAAAUAAUUUCAAUCCAAUUCUUAGAUGAGUCAAACAUACGCA
rnacentral:lncRNA from 1 species